UGGAAUUGUGAUGGCGAUUG
rnacentral:misc_RNA from 1 species